rnacentral:rRNA from 1 species
GACGAACGCUGGCGGCGUGCUUCAUACAUGCAAGUCGAACGAGAAGUUACCUUCGGGUGAUGGAAAGUGGCGGACGGGUGAGUAAUGUGUAGAGAAUCUACCCUAGAGAGGGGGACAACAGCUGGAAACGGUUGCUAAUACCCCAUAUGAGAUAAGUUGAAAUAUUUAUCUUGAAAACUCCGGUGCUCUGGGAUGAGUCUGCAUCUGAUUAGCUAGUUGGGGGUGUAAUGGACCACCAAGGCGACGAUCAGUAGCCGACCUGAGAGGGUGAUCGGCCACAUUGGAACUGAGACACGGUUCCAAAACCCCCUACGGGAGGCAGCAGUGGGGAAUAUUGCACAAUGGGCGAAAGCCUGAUGCAGCAACGCCGCGUGAAGGAAGAAGGUCUUCGGAUCGUAAACUUCUGUCCUUAGGGAAGAUAAUGACGGUACCUUUGGAGGAAGCCCCGGCUAACUACGUG